UCGCUGGUUUUCUUCGCGUCU
rnacentral:piRNA from 1 species